UACGGAGGGUGCAAGCGUGAAUCGGAAUUACUGGGCGUAAAGCGUGCGCAGGCGGUUUGUUAAGUCUGUUGUGAAAUCCCCGAGCUCAACUUGGGAAUUGCAAUGGAUACUGGCAGGCUGGAGUAUGGUAGAGGAAGGUGGAAUUCCCGGUGUAGCAGUGAAAUGCGUAGAGAUCGGGAGGAACACCAGUGGCGAAGGCGGCCUUCUGGACCAAUACUGACGCUCAUGCACGAAAGCGUGGGGAGCAAACAGG
rnacentral:rRNA from 1 species